UGUUAAGAUGUUUUUGUUUGUUUUUAAAUGGAAUCAAUUUAAAUGGUAAUAUAAUACCCAUUAUAUCUUUGAUUUUUGACUCUUAAUUUAAAAUGUUUGCUAUCUUUGUCCUUGAAGAAAGUCUGCUGAUUCUUACUCUAGGCUUUUAAGAAAGGACCUUAAAUUCCUGGAGAUAAGAAUGAUGGAUUGGUUUAUUUUAUGUUGUCGGAUUAUUUCCCGCUAAAUGUCUUCCAAAAGGGUCUCCUGUUGUCAGUGUGCCUGCAACCCAGUGAGAAAAGGGAGAAGUAUGUUUGAAACAUAGGCACUGUGAGAUUGUCAUGUCCAAUGACAAAAAUUAAUGAAAGACUAUGAGCCAGAUAAUUCCAGAGAUUUCCAGAAACAAAAAAUAUAUAGCGUAAAGGUAGAACAUGGCUUGGAUUGCUGAAGGAUGAGAAUUUGGGUUACUGCGGUGAGUAGAGAACCCUAACUAAAUGAGCAGCUAGAUGAGGUAUAGAUGAAGGAGGAGAAAUGUUGGACAUUUUGACUGUACCUUUAUAACUACUUGCAGAAUUGCAUGUUUUCUUCUUUCAUGCAUCAUUUGUACAUUUAGGCAUUCUAAUAUUUUCCCCUUUAUUAUGUUAUAUAGGCUAUUUUAAUGGUGGGAAACUUUAAGUCCUAACCCACAGUUUAUGGGUUGUGCAGCAAUGAAAGAGACUCCUGCAGAACUAGAACAGAGAUAACAUUCUCCAGAGGCCCUGGACUGGACAGUUACUGCUCGCCAAAGGGACUUUGUAAUGCCUUGAUCUGAGGACAGCACAUGGGAGUAUACCUUUGUGAAGUGGAGACUGAUCUAUGAAAGAGAAAUAUAUUUGUUGUUUGCAUGUUUAGGGGAUUCAUGAGGUCGGUGCAUGUACUGAGAGCAAUAGAGCUCGUUCUGGGUGGAAGUGAUGGAGGAAGUCUGUUUGCAAGGUCCUUUAUGACGAGAAACACGCUGUGAAUAAGGGCUGGGAAGAAUCCCAGGCCAGCACUGUCGCCACAGAGGAGUUGCAGAUUACGAAGCAGGUCCUUGUACGCAAUCCUAAGGGAGGAAAAGCUAUCGUUUGGAUCUAAAAUAUCCCACAGAAGCCUGGCUGCUCAAGGCUUGGACCUCAGCUCAAGGCACAGGCAGGAAAGUGUGGGCCUGGAAGAGCUGGGAAGUAGUGGGAGGUGUUCAGGGCUUCGGGCCCUGCCCUCCAAGCAGACCACAGACCCCAGUCUCCCUGUCCUCUCUCUUUUGUCCUGGCCUUGUGGUGGACAGAUUUGCUCCACCACAUACACCCUGCAGG
rnacentral:lncRNA from 1 species